rnacentral:rRNA from 1 species
UUGUGUGGCCAAACAUCCUUGUCAGAUCCUGAUAAUAUUCUAAGCAGGGCAGGCCUGGUUAGUACUUGGAUGGGAGACCGCUAGGAAUACCCAGUGCCAGUGGCAAA